rnacentral:ncRNA from 1 species
GCCAUGGGGCGAAGCGAUCACCCCACAAGGCGAAAGCCGAAGCAUCGCGUCCUGUUUCUCCGUCAUGAGGACGCCCAUG